GCCUGGGUGGUUCAGUCAGUUAAGCAUCUGACUUUGGCUCAGGUCAUGAUCUCACAGUUUGUGGGUUCGAGCCCCACAUCAGGCU
rnacentral:tRNA from 1 species